GUGGUCUCAGCGGUGUUCGUCAGAGUCCUGGUGCAGCAGAACCAGGAGAACCAGGAGCACAGGUGGCAAAAGAACUGGAAACCAGAACAGAUGUUUGUUGUAUUCGGAAAGGAAUGUGUCCUGGAGAGAGGAACAUGACAACGACGAGGUUUUCCUACCGUCCAUCUUGAGACGUCCUCAGUUUCCAAUGUUCGGAUGAGCAGGGACUGCCAGUACUCAUCAGGGACAAAACUGGUCUGAACCAGGACACAGUUAACCAGCCUGAACACCACAGUGAAGACAACCACCUU